rnacentral:rRNA from 1 species
AUCCGAAAGGUGACCGACCUUCGGGGAGCCAUUACAGGUGUUGCAUUGGCUGUCGUCAGCUCGUGUCGUGAGAUGUUCGGUUAAGUCCGCUAACGAGCGCAACCCUCGCUGUGUGUUAUAUGUGUCACACAGGACUGCUGGUAUUAAGCCGGAGGAAGGUGGGACGACGUCAAGUCAGCAUGACCUUUAUAUCCAGGGCUACACACACGCUACAAUGGUCAGUACAAUGGGUUGCCAAGCCGCGAGGCGGAGCCAAUCCUAAAAAGCUGGCCUCAGUUCAGAUUGCAGUCUGAAACUCGACUGCAUGAAGUCGGAGUUGCUAGUAAACGCAGGUCAGCUAUACUGCGUUGAAUACGUUCCCGGGGCUU